rnacentral:rRNA from 1 species
CCAGACGGGGACUGCGACACGGCCCCGACUCCUACGGGAGGCAGCAGUAGGGAAUAUUGGACAAUGGGCGAAAGCCUGAUCCAGCGACGCCGCGUGCGGGAUGAAGGCCUUCGGGUCGUAAACCGCUUUUGUCAGGGAAGAAUUUCUGACUGUACCUGACGAAUAAGAGGUUGCUAACUCUGUGCCAGCAGCAGCGGUAAUACAGAGACCUCAAGCGUUAUCCGGAUUCAUUGGGCGUAAAGCGUGCCGAUCGGUGGUUUGGAAAGUUUUCUGUUAAAGCCCACGGCUCAACCGUGGAAUCGCAGAGGAUACUACCAGACUAGAGGGGCAAAGAGGUGCUUGGAACGAAUGGAGUAGCAGUGAAAUGCGUUGAUAUCAUUCGGAACACCAAAUGCGAAGGCAAAGCACUGGGUGCCACCUGACACUGCUAGGACGAAAGCGUGGGUAGCGAAUGGGAUUAGAUACCCCAGUAGUCCACGCUGUAAACGAUGCUGACUAGUUAUUUGGGAGUGUCGACCCUCCUAAGUGACGUAGCUAACGCGUUAAGUCAGCCGCCUGGGGAGUACGGUCGCAAGACUAAAACUCAAAGGAAUUGACGGGGACCCGCACAAGCGGUGGAGCAUGUGGUUUAAUUCGAUAAUAAGCGAGGAACCUUACCAGGGUUUGACAUCUAUCUGCAAAUCCCAAGAAAUUGGGACUCCUUCGAGGGUGAUAGACAGAUGCUGCACGGUUGUCGUCAGCUCGUGUCGUGAGAUGUUGCCUUAAGUGGUAGAACGAGCGCAACCCCCAUUGUCCGUUAUAUUGUGUCGGACAAAACUGCCAACGUUCAAGUUGGAGGAAGGUGGGGAUGACGUCAAAUCAGCGUGGCUCUUACAUCCUGGGCUACACACGUGCUACAAUGGGUAGGAUUACAAAAGGACGCAAUGUCGCAAGACGGAGCAAAUCCUCUAAAACUACCCCAAGUUCGGAUUGAGGGCUGCAACUCGCCCUCAUGAAGUUGGAAUCGCUAGUAACCGUAGAUCAGCCUCGCUACGGUGAAUACGUUCUCGGGUUUUGUACACACCGCCCGUCACACCAUGGAAGCUGUUAGUACCUAAAGAUUGUUUUUACGAUUUAGGGUAAGAACAGUGACUGGGGUGAAGUCGUAACAAGGCAUCGGUAGCGGAAGCUGUCGAUGGAUCACCUCCUUUCU